AACGAACGCUGGCGGCGCGCCUAAUACAUGCAAGUCGAGCGAGAAGACGUAGCAAUACGUUUGUAAAGCGGCGAACGGGUGAGGAAUACAUGGGUAACCUACCCUCGAGUGGGGAAUAACUAGCCGAAAGGUUAGCUAAUACCGCGUACGCUCCUUGGACUUCGGUUCAGGGAGGAAAGCGAUACCGUGGGUAUCGCGCUCUUGGAUGGGCUCAUGUCCUAUCAGCUUGUUGGUGAGGAACGGCUCACCAAGGCUUCGACGGGUAGCUGGUCUGAGAGGACGAUCAGCCACACUGGCACUGCGACACGGGCCAGACUCCUACGGGAGGCAGCAGUAAGGAAUAUUGCGCAAUGGGCGAAAGCCCUGACGCAGCGACGCCGCGUGGGGGAUGAAGGUC
rnacentral:rRNA from 1 species